AUCCCCGGACGCGCGGCCCCCCCACCCGCGGCCCCGCGCGCCUCUCCCUGACACCACCCUCCGCGGCCCCCUCCGGACCCUCUGGCCCCCAAGACGCCCCUCCGGCCCUCCCCUAGGAGAGGGGGCCCUCGCCAAGUCUCCGCCUUCCUGCCCUCCUCCUGUCAAUGCCGCUGUCCAGAGCUCGCAGCCCUGGGAACGCCACUCCAGCGGGGCCUCCUUCUCCUGGGACCCCCUGGGCCCCACCCCCAGGACCUCCCACCUCUGCAAACCCCGAGUUUGCUUUUCCCAUCCACCGGGCAGCUCUUCUCCACGCCCACCUGGCUGGACCCGGGAAACCGAAGAAGUUAGUGGGGGUUCACCAGUAGGAAUCGGUAUGAGGGAGAGCCUGGAGGAGGAAAUGGGGAAAGGGGAAAUGUUCAGAAGGAAUGGAGGACAGCGAGCAGGGUAUUCGGGGAUGGAGGACCAAGUGUGUUUCUUUGGGAAGUGCUGGCAUGUAGGGGUGUGUGCUGUGUACCUGUGUGAAGGAUGUACGCAGAAUGUAGAGUAUGGGGUACGUGAGGGUGGUGUGUACGUAUGUGUCCUGUGGCGGGGAGCGGUGUGCAUUCCGAGAUGUGCGCAGGGUGAACACAGUGUACGUGCAAUGUCCAGGCGUGUGGUGUGCAAGUGUGUGUCUGUGUGUUAUGUGGUGAAUGUGCAGGAAAGGUGUCGCCUUGAGGUGUGGGUAGAGUAUUGUAGGUGCUGGGGGGUUAUGAAUAGGGUAUGCGGGAGAACUGGCUAGAGAUUUCUCUCAGAGGACCAGCCAUGGAGAAGGCCAGGAUGAAGUCUUGGGGAGAACCUCGGGUGAGUUCAGCUCUGAGUCCAUUUCCGUUUUCAGAUCUGGCAGACAAAUCCCUCACACUCAGGUAAAUAAAUUCGGCCUGUGCUCGAGUGCACGAGAAGGGAGAACGUUGUAGUAGCCCAGAUCUGGACUUGGACCACUGGAGGCCUCCCUCUGGCAACCCCGCCCUGGCCUGCAGUCCGGGGUGUGGGUGAUUCAGGCCGCCUGCGCAGCAGCUUCGGAACCGCGGGUUGCCUUGGCUGCGCCUUUAGCUGGGGCUGGGAGAAGCCGGGUCCGAGAGUCGGGAAGAGGGAGAGGUGGAGAGAAUGCGCCUGCGCACGAGUCUUUCCCACAGCAGGUUCAAGUCAGGAAAAGGCCUAGGGACUUUCCUAUUUUUUGCCCUUUAAAGUCAGAGACCCUUCCAAAACUGAGCGCUGUAUUGCCUGGGGAAGCCGCGCCUAUGUGUCCGAGGCAGCUCUGGGGUUCUUGCCCACCCUUCCGGGAAGCCGAUUGCUAGUGGGUGUAUGGAGGCUUUCCAAAGACUCCCGGAGGUUUGCGUGGGUUUCACUUCGGGCCAUAGCUUCAGAAAGAGCGAGCCUGCCUCUCUGUAUUUUUAGCAGGAGGAGCAGAAUUUGAAACAGCAGCAUACCGGUCCUGCGCCUGGUGAAGGAUGACUCGCCAGAAAGCAAAGGCACAGCCCUACCUCCGCGAGCUUGGCGCGUGGCCCAGGAGGCUCCGCGAGCCCUCGUACGUAAGGAUCGCGGCGCCCACGCUUGAGAGCAGAGCUCAGUGCAAACUUCCAACGGUUCUUCCAGUUUCCAGGGAAACGAGAUCUGGAGCUGCUGUGCGUUGCAGAGCUGCCUCUCUGCAACCCACAUGGGACCCCUGUGGCUGGCUGGUCUUGGGGAAGAAGGAGUUGAAGCCACCACAUCCAUGAAGGUUUUGUCUGGAGCCUGUCUGAUCCGAUGCAUUCAGUACUGAAAGCUUUCAGGAACAUUCUUUUACUCACUUCUCAGGACAACCGGUGAGGUAGGUCCCCUGUUAUCCCCAGUAGGACUUUUCAUUAGUAAAUUAGUGACUGGAAUUGGGACAGAAACCCACACUCUGUGACCAGGCUAUGCUCCCCCCACCCCCGAUGCCUUCCUGAUUCCAACCCCUGCAGAGGAUCCUCAAGGUGCAGGAUUUCCCUGGAGUACAAAUAGGUCUUUUCUAUCAGGUCGGAUUGGAAAUGGCCAGGUCAGGAGAAUUCCAACUAUUUCUGGGGCUAGCUGAGUAUGUACGUGUCUGUGGUGCCAAAAAAAAAAAUAAAUAAAAAUCUAGUUCUUUGGAGAGUAUGGUGGCAGGAGCCUGCAAACACGGAGAGGGGAACUCACUGAGAAGGGUCUUUAAGCCGAAGCAAUUCAAUUUUAUUCUGAGGGCAGGAACACAGAGAUUUCAGGCGAGCAUCCUGGCGUGUGCUGAGAAGGAGCUCUGCUGCCUGGGAUCUAGGGGAGCGAAAGGAGCUUUCUCUCUGCUUGCAGUGUAAAAUCCCAGGAUCCUUUCACCGAGGAAGAGCUCAUCAUGCUCUGUUGUGAGCCAUCCUCAACUUCCACUUGCAGAGUCUGCUUAACCUUCCAUGCAUGCCAAGGAGGGGACCCAGGGUAGCUGCGGUCUAGUCACGUGACCUGGAGGGUCAGAGGCAGGAAGGAGAGCAACUCCAGAAAGAACCACACCGGUGAGGGAUAACUUUGCCACUUUUCCAGGAAAAUGACAUCAUUAACUACUGUUCAAGUUCCUACAGAGGUCUGGCGGCCUUCUGGGGGCAGGUAUCACUCUCCCACACCAUCACCUUUUAAAUAUUUUAUUAACAUAUGUCUUAGUCUACCUUCUUUUACUGUAACUGAAUAACAUUUACAAAGAACAAUGGUUUAUUUAGCUAACACUUCAGAAGUGCUUGCAACUGUGAAGCCCUUGUGCUGUGUAUAGUAUGGUGUAAGGAAUGACUUGGCAAGACAGAGCAGCCAAAGAGCUUCUUCCACAACAAAACCGCUCAACCAAUUAUAUCCCAAAGGUUCCACCAAACACCAUGAGCAUAUGACUUUGGGGGUCACGUUUCUCGCCUGUGGAUUCUGGGGACAAGCGUUCAUGCAUCACAAGUAGCCAAAUAGUUGAAAUGUUCAUUGUUAAGCCUCACCCCCUCCCGACCCCCCUUUUUUUCCUAGGAACAGCCACGUUAAUCUGUUACUUCACACAGGCAGUGCAGGCAUCCUCUGUGCAAAACACCCAACGGUGAAUCUUCCAAAGAAUUCAUGAAACCGUAGCCGAGUUCUCAGAGACACAACAGUGUUUCUUACUAUGUUCAAAGUCUUAUAGAAUGUAACACAGAAAAUAUUAAAUAUACAAUGUGCUAUCUUCAUGGCAUAGAAACAAGCAUUUAUCUAACUUACGAAAGACAGAAGUGCCCGAGACACGGCCCAGGACCUGUCAGCCAACCAGAGCUUCUUCCUGCACUUGCUUAGGCAUUUGUAGAAGGAAUCUAUCCCAGCCGCUACAGCUGGUCUGGUUUGUUUUCUUUUGUUUGUUCAUUUGUUUUUAUUUUACAGAGAGUCAGAGAGCAUGAUUCUCCCUACCUGGCUUCUUUUGUUCCAUAAAUAAUGUUUGUGGAGCGUGUCCACGAUGCUGCGCACAGCCCUGGCUCACUCAUGGCUGGUAAUGAAACCCUGCAGCUGACCAGUUUCACUGCAGUAAGCAACACAUUGCUUCUUGUUUGGGAAUGGUGUGUCGGGAAUCAUUGAGACACGCAGCUGAGUAACCCUGUCUGAUUAAUACUGUCUUUACUUCUAUUUCCCCCUCUUUGCAUCGAGGUGCAAUUUAUGUACAAUAAGAAUCAUUGAUUUUAACUGUAUGAUUCCACGAGUUUGGACAGCUGCAUACAUUAUACGGACGACCCACUCAUGACUCAAUGCUGGUCCAACUCCUGCAAAUGCUAAGCUCAGCUUUUCCCGACUCCCACCUCGUGCAGUAUACAGGAUUUCCUGUGCAUGGGCAACCUUUUCUGUCUGGCUUCAGUGCCUUUCAGAUUCGUCCAAACUCUCACAUGAAUCGAUUGGUUGUGCUUAUUGCUGAAUAGAAUUCUAGUAAAAAGUGUUUAUCCAUUCACGGCAUGGUGGGCAUUCUGGCUGUCUCUGACGGGGUGACUGACCUGUAUUCAACCGUGGUACCAUGCAGGUUUAAGUCGAUAUGAGCGUGCUUCCAACUCCUUAGGUGUGUGGUAGGAGUGUGAUUGCUGGGCUGCAUCACCACACAUUUACAGUUAUCCUUAAAGAAAACAGAAGAUCAUUAACUAGAAUCAUUUUCCGCCCCCAUCCCCCCGUGCCGUAUGUGUAUACUCCUGGGUUGUGUUUUUAGCAACACAAGGUGUGUCAGCUUCCCUAGCAUGUUGGCCAGCCUGGCGUCCAUAGAUGGAUUCUCAUGGUGGCUUUAAUUUGCAUUGCCUGGUUUUGAAUGCUAUCAACACUUUCACUUAUCUUCAGUAAUGCGCGGGCGCGCGCGCGCGCGCGCACACACACACACACACACACACACACACACACACACACACUUGGUUAGCUUUUUCGAAAAUUACGUGGUCUCUAAGUCUCUAUCAUUUUAUCAACAGUGAAUAGAAGCGUGACUGGAAAUGUGGCGUACGUUGGCCCUGUGGAUUCUCCUGUAAUAGCCCAAGCACAUAUUAUACCUCUUUCAGCUGAUCCCUCGAAAACUCAUCACUACUCAACCUGGUCUCCUCUGGAGUCUAAAUGAAGCACUUAAUGGGAAUCCACCUAAGCCUCCUCUGGCUUCUGUUUAUGACAGUAAAGAGUCCAGGUAAGUCAUGUCAGGGGUAGACAGAGCUGCCAGCUGCCCAUGUCUUAGCGAGAUCAGUGAGCUAUAUCUCCCAAGAGAGAAUUGUCAUUCUGCCUCUCUGCCAUGAGGACACUGCUGGACCACCUCUGCAGGAGCUUGCACUGAUGCUGUGCUAGAAAGAACAAAGACCCUUCUCUGCUUUGGUUUCCUUUAGAAAUGGUUCUGGCUCUGUCUCCCACAUACUCCAGCCUCCCACCACUCCAACUGGGGUGAACUUUCCUUCUACCUGUGGAACACAUCAAAUGGAGUUCUUGUGUUUCCUGUGUUCAUUUUCUCGUCUGAAAUCAUGCUGUUGCUGCUGUCUACCACACUAUGUCCUUGUAUUCCUAGACCUCCAAAACCAGGGCUGGACAGUCCAGGUGGAGCCUUUCUUCCUUAGCAGACGUAAGUAGACACAACCAUCCUGUAGGGCGAACAAGAGCUUGGUGGCUGGACAACCACUUCAGAUUUUCAAAUACACCCUCACAGAGAUGCUCAGGGAUGCUCACUGAAGUUUCAUCUGAGGCAGGGAGUCACAAGAAAGCAGAGAAGGAUGACCCCUGCCAAAACCAUGUUAGAGCAAAGGUGGCAGGGUCUCCCUUCCCUUGAAAUAACUCAAAUGCUGGACAGAGGACAGAAAGCAUGGUUUUCAAAUGCUAAUCAUGAAACAAGGCAAGACUGUGACAGAGAAUCAAAGAAAGCCUCCAGUGCCUCGUGUAACAGCUUAAGAGUUGCCAGCAAUGGUGCCAGCCGAGGAGCCCAGGCAGACUCAAAGAACUUCCCUGGGUUUAAGAGACAUGCUUGUGCUCAAGGGACCAAACUAAAUGUAUACAGGUUUGAUUUUUGUCAAUUAUGCUUCAAUAUAACUAUAAAAACUGGGGUAAAAGCACACUGUAAAAUACUGUCAAUCAGAAGUAACAAAGCUGUAUCUAAUACAUAACUCUAAGUGAGUAAAGAAUCAAUAUUGUCCAACCA
rnacentral:sRNA from 1 species